rnacentral:rRNA from 1 species
UACGUAGGGGGCUAGCGUUAUCCGGAAUUACUGGGCGUAAAGGGUGCGUAGGUGGUUUCUUAAGUCAGAGGUGAAAGGCUACGGCUCAACCGUAGUAAGCCUUUGAAACUGGGAAACUUGAGUGCAGGAGAGGAGAGUGGAAUUCCUAGUGUAGCGGUGAAAUGCGUAGAUAUUAGGAGGAACACCAGUAGCGAAGGCGGCUCUCUGGACUGUAACUGACGCUGAGGCACGAAAGCGUUGGGAGCAAACAGGAUUAGAUACCCGUGUAGUCCCUGAGCGGG